CACCCGUUCCCAUCCCGAACACGGAAGUUAAGCCCUCCAGCGCCGAUGGUACUUGGGGCGGGAGCCCCCGGGAGAGUAGGACGUUGCCAGGC
rnacentral:rRNA from 1 species